rnacentral:rRNA from 1 species
UACGGAGGGUGCUAGCGUUGUUCGGAAUCACUGGGCGUAAAGCGCGUGUAGGCGGUCCGUUAAGUCUGAUGUGAAAGCCCGGGGCUCACCCCCGGAAGUGCAUUGGAAACUGACGAACUCGAGUCCCGGAGAGGAGGGUGGAAUUCCUGGUGUAGCGGUGAAAUGCGCAGAUAUCAGGAAGAACACCCGUGGCUAAGGCGGCUCUCUAGUACGGUACUGACGCUGAGACGCGAAAGCGUGGGGAGCGAACAGG